CUACGGGGCGCAGCAGUGGGGAAUAUUGGACAAUGGGGGCAACCCUGAUCCAGCAAUACCGCGUGUGUGAAGAAGGCCCGAGGGUUGUAAAGCACUUUCAGUAGGGAGGAUUGGUUUUACGGUUAAUACCCGUGGAGCUUGACGUUACCUACAGAAGAAGCACCGGGUAACGUCAGUGCCAGCAGCCGCGGUGAAUACUGAGGGUGCAAGCGUUAAUCGGAAUUACUGGGCGUAAAGCGCGCGUAGGUGGUUAGAUCAGUUGGGUGUGAAAGCCCCGGGCUCAACCUGGGAAUUGCAUCCAAUACUGUCUGGCUAGAGUAUGGUAGAGGGAAGUGGAAUUCCGCAUGUAGCGGUGAAAUGCGUAGGGAUGCGGAGGAACACCAGUGGCGAAGGCGACUUUCUGGACCAAUACUGACACUGAGGUGCGAAAGCGUGGGGAGCAAACAGGAUUAGAUACCCCCGUAGUC
rnacentral:rRNA from 1 species